CACCUGCAUCCUCACCUUGCUGACAGAGACCUGAUCCGCGGGAUCUCCAGGAGCUGGACAGGGGCAGGCUGCAGGCUGCCACACUUUGCAGGAGUCCGCUGCACCCACCAUGGAUUCAGCCUCCACAUAGUUGAGGGGCCGCGCCGGCGACUCGGUGACCACCUUGGUGUCCAUGCCCAACUCCUCCAUGCUAUCCGGGGCUCCAGCCGCCGCCGUGAUGAUUGUGUACAACACCCACUGUUCACGCAGAGGCCCAGGGGAAGAGGUUUUUUUCUUUAGCUACAUGAAUCAAAUUGCCCCUCAUCAGCACCCACCCCAC
rnacentral:lncRNA from 1 species